UAAUUCAAUAGCGUUCUUUUAAGAAUGCUAUAAUAAAGGACCAACAAUAGCAUUCCUUAAACUACAAGGACCAACAACAGCGUUUCAAAAACACGGAAGGAAUUUAUAGCAUUUUCAUUUAAACCUCGUCUACAGACUACAGCGUUUCGACCUAAAUAUAUUGGGCGGAAACCCUUGGACACCUCUGAAAUUUUCGAACCCUCCACCAGGGGAUGGGGCUUCCGAUUCUCGAGUUUUGAAUGCUGGAACCGACCUUCUCGACGAAUCCUCCGAAGCCACUUGUGCCGUUGAGGUUUUCGUCACUGGCGGAGGGCUUGAAGACCAGGGAUCGACAGACUUAGCUGAUGAAGUCAUUCGUUUUCUGAAAUAUUGGGCGAAAAACCUUGGAUCCUCACAAACGCCUUUGAAAUUUUCUCAAUCAUUGUUGUGCGAACUGGUUUGGAUGGAUCUGUUGUGAUUCUAGACUUUUGUUCAUUUCAGUUUGGAAGGAGUUAUAGUUGAACAUUUAGACAAUGGCAGUCAAUUGGUUCACAACAAUGGACAUAGAUGGCCUCAUCAGGUGGAAUUUGAUUCUAAUGGAAAAGCCUUUGGAGUGACAUCGGAAGGAGAAACUGCAAAAUGCAAAAAAGUAGUUUGUGAUCCUUCAAAUUUGCCUAGCAAGGUAAAGAAGGUUGGGGAAGUAGCUCGUGCUAUAUGCAUUAUGAGUCAUCCCAUCCCUCACACCCAUGAUGCUCACUCAGUCCAGGUUAUUCUGCCCCAGAAACAACUUCGUCUUAAGUCUGAUGUAUAUAUGGGAUCAAUGUGACAUCUGGUGCUGUUGUUUCAGCUUUGAAUAUCUCCUCGGGAGAUCAUGUCACCUGCUUGCAGAGGAUGGCGGGCUUGAUUGGAAUGUGCUUGAGGGUGCAGUGACAGCUUGCAAAGGAUGGCAGGCUUAACUUGAAUUUUACUCUCCCCUAUAGAGGCACACUUAGUACAGCCUUAAUCCAUCAAAUCACUGCAUGAUAGGAAGAUUUUGGGAUGGAAAAGACAAGUGAAAAAUUCAAGAGCGUUAACAAUAACCCUAAAUGCAACAAGUGGACGUUGGUCUUUUAGUGAUGCACAUACCCGUGGUCAUGUACUUAUCUAUCCUAGCGCAAUGGUAGUUUGGGUGGAUGUUGUAAAGAAACCGGAAGUAUUUUUGUGGAGUAGUGAGUGACAUGACAUGGUUUAUGUUGAAGAAUCUGUUGGAACUAUUGUUGCUUGGCUGACAAAGUUAUUAUGGACUCGACAUGAGGGUCGACUCUGGGUUGAAAGACAAGAUUGGUGUUUUGUGACUUUCGCUCAAGAUGGAGAUAUGAUCAUGUGCCAGUGUCAGCCGGGCAUUGCUCAAGCCUUUUCCUUGACACAUUUACUGGCUUCUCACCGUCAAGCCUUGUAGUCCACUUUUGGGGUAUAUAUGUUUAAGGGUGGGCUUGAAGUCAACUGAAUUUCCUUCAUUUUUAAGUUAACAUGUAUAGUACCUGAUGUUGAUGAAGUACAAUUUUCUUUUUGAUUUUGUA